rnacentral:rRNA from 1 species
CCUACGGGUGGCAGCAGUGAGGAAUAUUGGUCAAUGGCCGCAAGGCUGAACCAGCCAAGUAGCGUGAAGGAUGACUGCCCUACGGGUUGUAAACUUCUUUUAUAGAGGAAUAAAGUUAGGCACGUGUGCCUUUUUGUAUGUACUUUAUGAAUAAGGAUCGGCUAACUCCGUGCCAGCAGCCGCGGUAAUACGGAGGAUUCGAGCGUUAUCCGGAUUUAUUGGGUUUAAAGGGAGCGUAGAUGGGUUGUUAAGUCAGUGGUGAAAGUUUGUGGCUCAACCGUAAAAUUGCAAUUGAUACUGGCAGUCUUGAGUACAGUUGAGGUAGGCGGAAUGCGUGGUGUAGCGGUGAAAUGCUUAGAUAUCACGAAGAACUCCGAUUGCGAAGGCAGCUUACUAAACUGUCACUGACAUUGAUGCUCGAAAGUGUGGGUAUCAAACAGGAUUAGAUACCCUAGUAGUC